ensembl:lncRNA
CCGGGGUCGGCCCGGUGGUGCACACGUUCGGCUUCAGCGGCCCGGGGUUCGCCGGUUUGGAUCCCAGGUGCAGACAUGGCACCGCUUGGCAAGCCAUGCUGUGAUACAGAAUUAGGAAAACACAUCAAGGUGGCUGGUGGUGACUUGAUCCAAAAGCUAUUGUAGGAGGAGUGAGAUAGGACCAGUGGCUAGCCCUGGAAGUGAGAACAAAGGUGGCCCACAUUUCCUCCCCAUCUAAAUAAAGGGAUUUACAAGGACUUCCUCGGGGAGGCUGUCAGCAUCCAGAAAAGCUGAGCUGAGGGCUUGUGACAACUGCCCCAACAUGCUGUUAUACAGGCUGUGGACAGUACACCAUGUCUCCCCGGUAACAUUCAGAGGAUGGAACGAUGGCUCUAGAACUGGAUUCUGAUCUUGGACAAAGUAUACUGCUCUGGACCUCAGAAGUCAUUCUGCUUCUACAAGUCCAACUUGUCAAAGUCCUUCUCUGAGAAACCGUCCAGACUUCCCCGGUCAGAAUCAACGUCUCCUUCCUCUUGUGGACACCCCUAACACUUUGUUUCUUCCUCCCGUGCAGCAAUUACACAGUGUGCCUUGUGGUCUAGAUGGGGUGUUACUACUGUAUUAAGGAUCUUGUAGGGCAUGGAAAUCAAGAUUCCGCACACGUUUGCACGUGGUACAGCUGAGGAUUGAAGCCUGGGAUGGAUAUGUACCAACCGUAGAACCUGCCAUGAGCAUAGCUUCAAGAAGGCAGGGACAGUGUCUGCCUUGUUCACAGCUGCAGCUCCGGUAACUAGUUCAGAGCCUGUACAUCCUGGGAAUCAAGAAACAUGUCUGAGGAAAGGAAGGAGGAAAAGAAGGAAGAAUGGAAGGAAAGCUGAAUGGUAAUAAAGAAAAUUUAGACAAUGAACUUCUCUCAAAUGAGAGAGAAGAGUCUGAAUCUGCUCUCAGUGGAACCUAUCAUUUCUGACCUCGGAGAGGUAAUAAGAGGCUUCAAGUGCUUUGUUCUUUAAGUAACUGGCCACUGUGUACAUUGUUUGGUCAUGGGUUGUGGAAAAAUCCCCCCGAGUCAGCUCCAAGGAACAAAACGUGGUUGCUUAGACUGUUCAAACCUUCAAAACUAGUCUUCUCAAAAGGCUUGGGCCUAAAGAACACUUGUGUGACCUACAUGUUGUUUGCCAUUGUCACUGACAGAGAACAAAGGAAAGGGAAGAACCCUUUGAUUGGUCUGCAUCUCAAUAACCUGAAAUGUCUGCCCCACUGCUCAUUUUAAAAGGAGCAAGAGUAGAUCUACGUGGUGUUCCAGGUUAGGAUGGUGGAGCGAGCCGCACAGCUAAUGCUGCUCCUCCGCAACGUUCCACUAAGACCAGAGGAAAGGGAUGUUCUUUAAAGAGCAAAACCCACAGGAAAGACAAUACAAGGGCAGUGAAACUUCGGAAUCUGGAAAGCAGAUUGACAACUGGCAACACCAUAUACUUCUGUUCUGUACAGAGGGUGUGGAGAGGAGGCUAGAACAGCAAGGUGUCUAAAACAGGAAAGACUGGGUGAAAGCUGUCCCACUGGGUUAGAUCUCUACGUCUCCACUCCAUUGCACAUUGCUAUGGUUGAAUAGAUAGAGUAUUUACGUUCAAUAUGUGCAUAUCUCAACUACAUAGUAUAGUAGUUUAUUCUCAGGAGUAGAUAGAGCAGGCCUCCGGACUGUGGGACAUCAGGCACACGUGAGAGCAGAUGUAUUAUUCUCACACCAAACACAGACAGACUGCAUGACCGAAUGCUAGAUGCUGAGGACUUCUCUCUCUUCCUCGGCUUGGCUCCCAGAAUGCCAGAAGCCCUACUACUUCCCUCUAGGCAGGAGAUUAGAAGGUUAUUUUCUGCUAAACAUAACCAACCUAGGAGGAAAGAUUUUAAAAUAUUGACAUCAGGAGUUCACCAACAAACAGCCCAUCCAGAACACCUGAGAGUGUCACUCACAGUAAACAAGCCUCACAUAUAAGAAAGGAUGACCAGAUACUUGAGGGAGACCUCUAACAUGGAAGACAGAGGCCAAAACCAACAAACGGAAGAAAGGAACUUGGAGAAAAUAGAGACUAUAGAAAGAGAAGAAACCUUCAACAAAACUAUUAGUAUCCUCAGAGAAAUCAGAAGAAAUGAUUACCCUUGUGAAACUAGAAAAUGGUACUACACAAAACGGAAAUUCAAAGUAAAAAGAGAUCUUGAAAGUUAAAAAAUAGCUGAAAUGAAAAAAUUCGAUAGAAGAAUUGGAAGAUAAAGUUGAAGAAAGUUCUGAGGAAGUAGAGCAAAAAGACAAAAGAGAAGGAAGACAUAAGGAAAAUCAAAGGAGCAGAACUGAAGGGCCAACACCUGAGUAAUGGAUGUUUUUUCCAGGAAAAGAGCACAGAGGCAACAAAGUGAAAAAUCAUUAACAAAAUAAGUUAACAAAAAUUCUCAUAACUGAAGACAGGAGUUGCCAGGUAGAAGGGGCCCCCUAAGUGCCUCCCCAAGAAAAUUUGAGUAGAUCUAUGUCAAGGAACAUCAUCGUGAAAUUUCAGAACACUGGGGACCAAGAGAAGGGUCUAUCAGCUUCCAGAGGGAAAAAAAGGUUACAUACAAAGGAUCAGGAAUCAGAAUGACUUCAGAUUUCACAACUGCAGCAAGACAAGGGAGAAAGACCUUCAAAAUUCUCCAGGAAAAGUCUUCCUACUGCAAUUCUAGAUUCAGCCAAACUGUCAAACACAUAUGAGGGAAGAAUAAAGACACUUUCAGAUAUGCAAAGUCUCAAAAACUUAAUUCCCAUGUACUCUUUCUCAAGAGCGUAGUGAGGAUAUACUCCUACCAAAAUCUAAGAAAAAAAAUCAAGAAAGGGGAAGAGUGCUGAAGAGUUUGUUUCUGCACCCUAACCAGUGUUAUCAGAGGCUCACUUGUAUGGACUGUUCAACCAACAGAGUCGCCAGCAGGAGAUGUGGAGGAGAGGAGGCCGAAGGCAGCUCGGGGCCCUGUCAGGAUAAAGAGGCCUCUGAGGUACCAUAGCAUGCAUUCUACCACUCAUUUCUCAGGGAUUUCUCUCUCUCCCUCACUUUCUCUUCUGCCUUCUUAAUUCUCUCCUACUUUCUUACUCUUUCGCCCCCUCCUUCAAUGAGCGAUCUUUGACAUAGCCUCCAUCACCACGCUUAACCAUGAAAAGGGCAGUGAGGCCAAAAGAGGCAAGGCAGCACAACGGAUAACAGAGCAUGGAUUAUGGAGUUAGACAACACCGGGUUCAAGCUCUAGUUCUGCCAUUUAAAAGAGGGAUGACCCCAGGCAAAUUACUCACCUUUACUGUAAUACAAGAAAAAGAAAGAUCAUUGUAUCUACUUCAUGUACAGGUUGAUUAAAUGUGGUAACAAAUGUAAAAUCUUAGAAUAGUGAGUGGUAUAUUAAGCUCUCAAUAAAUGGUAGCUAUAAUUAACAUAAAUUAAAAGUGCCAUUCCCC